rnacentral:piRNA from 1 species
UGAAAGAUGUCAGGAUUUGGUUUG